GCAGCGGUGGUCCAGCAGCAGAAUUCUCACCUUCCAUGUGGGAGACCUGGGUUUGAUUCCCAGCCAACGCA
rnacentral:tRNA from 1 species